AAUAUCGGCAUUCGCCUUUUUGAUACCGAGCUUCUGAGGUCUACUAGCACCCAAUUUACUAGCAGUAGGGCGUGAGGAAGCACGGAUAGGCCGGGCACGAGCAGAAGAAAUAGAAGAAGUUUUUGAUUUGGUAGUGGAAGUAGAAUCUGGACGAGAAGGGGGAGAAACCAUAGUCUUCUCUUCAGUGACGACGACAGGCUCAUCUUUCUCGCCGCUUUCAACAACUACCGAUGAACUAGUAGAAGCUAAGUCAGUUUUGUCAUCAAGAUUAUCGUCCGAUUUCUUCACAGAUGCUUUAUCCCAAGCAGAAAAAAAGUCAUCAUCUUCAUUAGUAGUGUCAGCAGCAGAACUGCCUUCAUGAGUGUUGGAAAGGAAAUCCAUAUCCAAUAUAUCGGGAUAAUUAGCCUCGUCUUCUACCGCAAGAGACUUUAGUUUUUCAAGAUAUUG